GCCUGGGUGGCUCAGUCGGUUGAGCGUCUGACUUCGGCUCAGGUCACGAUCUCACGGUCUGUGAGUUCGAGCCCCGCGUCCGGCU
rnacentral:tRNA from 1 species